GUCUCCUACAGAUGGCAGCUGGCUCAGGCUUCUCUAUCCCCUGCUUCUUCUCUUCCCGUCCGGUCUCCCCACCCCCUUCCACCAGGCUGUUUUCUUUCUAUAUAUGAACAUGGAAAGGAAGAAUGCCUUGCGCUCUUCUCCCAGAGCUCUGCAGUGGGUGUCAGACAGAACGCUCAAAGGAGGGAGGCAAACAAACCCUCACCGCAUGACCUCAGAUCUGAAGUCCGCAGCCGGCUCUUUCCACUAAACUGGUUUCAACAGUUACCGGUGAAGCAAUGGAAGCAGGAGACUCAAGUGUGACCCUCAUAAAAUCUCAUGAAAUAGAGCUAUGGACAUUUUCAAAAAUGAAUGACCUGGCACUCAGCUGCUACAGUGCUCGUCUAGUAUGUGUGAAACUCUGGGUUCUUGUCCCAGCACUGCAUAAACUGGGCAUAGUGACUCAUUCCUGAGAUCCUAGCCCUGGAGAGGCUUCUGAAAUUUGGAAGGGACUCCUGAGGACAUGUAUCGGGAUGAAUGGCUACUUCUGCUGGGAGCAGGAUUGAACCCUUAGAGAUUGCCUGAAGACCUGGUUCCAUGCAGCUGGUCUAUAUUCUGAAGGAAGUGGUCAGCCAGGGAUGGAAUGACAUCAGGGACAGCUGAACGCCUGCCACCAACAAGCUUAGGGGAGUUCAGUAUGAGGGUGUGAGCUUAGCUCAAGAGGAAAGUGAGCAAGUGGUAAUGGUGUUCACCCGGACACUGGGACUCAAUGUCUGAUAAGCCCCUACCUGUUUUCUGAGAACUUUCUCCCUCAGUGGAUUACCUGCUAGCUUAAAAACUACAGCAGAAAAAUCCCAUUCCCAGCUUCUUGGCAUAGAAAUCUCCCUCACUAAUUUCCGGGUCGCUGUCCGAUUGUUAUGGGUAAACAGUCUCCUAUGAAGUGACACUGGGAACCAGGAUUCUUCCACCUUGGGCUUUGCCAGCUUAGGCUGGCCGGUAGAUGAUUCUAGAAGGGGUAUCCAUUUUACUAGAUAUAUCUCACUGGAACUCAAGGAUGAAGCUUCAUUAGUUAGAGUGCAGGCAUUGCGGUCUUUCUGGGUGCCCAAGGGGAAGACAAACUGGGUUGAAGAAACAGUUAAGGAAAGCACAGGAGGGUAAACAACGUCUAAGUGAGAAACCAGGAAUGUCCUCACACUGUGAGGAAGGCAGCUUUUUAGCUAAGCAGUGUUUUUUCCAAUCUCUACAAAUAAACUUAUUUAAAGAA